rnacentral:rRNA from 1 species
GCACGGCUCAGUAACACGUAGUCAACCUACCCUGGGGACGGGGAUAACCUCGGGAAACUGAGGCUAAACCCCGAUGGGCUAUAGCCUCUGGAAUGAGCUAUAGCUGAAAUCUAUAUGGCCCUAGGAUGGGACUGCGGCCGAUCAGGUAGUUGGUGGGGUAAUGGCCCACCAAGCCUAUAACCGGUGCGGGCUCUGAGAGGAGGAGCCCGGAGAUGGGCACUGAGACAAGUGCCCAGGUCCUAUGGGGCGCAGCAGGCGCGAAACCUCCGCAAUGGGCGAAAGCCCGACGGGGUUAGUCCGAGUGGUCCCUGCUGAAGGGGCCUUUUGCCAGCUGUAAAAAGGCUGGCGAAUAAGGGGUGGGCAAGUUUGGUGUCAGCCGCCGCGGUAAUACCAGCACCCCGAGUGGUCGGGACGAUUAUUGGGCCUAAAGCAUCCGUAGCCGGCUUAGCAAGUCCUCCGUUAAAUCCAACGGCUUAACCGUUGGGCUGCGGAGGAUACUGCUAAGCUAGGGGGCGGGAGAGGCGAGGGGUAUUCCCAGGGUAGGGGUAAAAUCCGUUGGUCCUGGGAGGACCACCAGUGGCGAAGGCGCCUCGCUAGAACGCGCCCGACGGUGAGGGAU